UCAGGCGCGCAAAUUACCCACUCCCAGAACGGGGAGGUAGUGACGAAAAAUAACAAUACGGGACUCUUUUGAGACCCCGUAAUUGGAAUGAGUACACUCUAAAUCCUUUAACGAGGAUCCAUUGGAGGGUAAGUCUGGUGCCAGCAACCGCGGUAAUUCCAGCUCCAAUAGCGUAUAUUAAAGUUGUUGCGGUUAAAAAGCUCGUAGUUGGAUCUCAGUUCCAGACGGGUGGUCCUCCUACGGUGGUUACUGCCUGUUCUGAACAGUCAGCCGGUUUCUCUUGAUGAUCUUCACCGGUUGUCUUGGGUGACCGGCAAGUUUACUUUGAAAAAAUUAGAGUGCUCAAAGCAGGCGUGAGGCCUGAAUAAUGGUGCAUGGAAUAAUGGAAUAGGACCUCGGUUCUAUUUUGUUGGUUUUCGGAACACGAGGUAAUGAUUAAGAGGGACAGACGGGGGCAUUCGUAUUGCGACGCUAGAGGUGAAAUUCUUGGACCGUCGCAAGACGAACUACUGCGAAAGCAUUUGCCAAGAAUGUUUCCAUUAAUCAAGAACGAAAGUUAGAGGUUCGAAGGCGAUCAGAUACCGCCCUAGUUCUAACCAUAAACGAUGCCAGCCAGCGAUCCGGCUGUGUUCCUCAAAUGACACGCCGGGCAGCUUCCGGGAAACCAAAGCUUUUGGUUCCGGG
rnacentral:rRNA from 1 species